rnacentral:siRNA from 1 species
CAUGAAAAUAGUCGGAUCCUAUUU